rnacentral:misc_RNA from 1 species
GGAAGGAUCAUUCACAAAUUUUAUACCAAAAAUGCCAGCGUAACAGUAACCGCAGUGUGAAAUUGGACUCUGCGGAUGGAGUGUGGAAUUUUGGCUUCUACUCUUUUCCCUUCAAUUUGAAUGGAGGUUGGGCUUGUCGGGCUUCUUCUUUUCCUUCCAAGUCCCUAUGGUUGUAUAAGAGCUUUUUUGGAUUACUAAUUUACAAUCAUUUGGGAUGCGAAAGGAGAGAGCUGCUUGGUAGGUUUCUUCUUUGUCCGGACGCUUUGUUGGUUAAAGUAGUGGGAGAUGCAAAAGGAAGCAAUUCUCCGGAAACAGAGAAAGAGGACACCGCAAGCAUCUGAGUGAAAAUUUCAGAUGUCAUGCGCUUGGUUAUUGGCUUGUACUUCUUGGAGAGUCCUUUGUUGGUUUGUAUAAGAGCUUUUUUGGAUUACUAAUUUACAAACCAAUGCAGAGGUCUCUGAGAAGGAAGGCUGAUGAUUGAGUGUCAAACAUCUUUGACGUCCCUUCUGGUUGUUUGAGUAGUCAUAUAAGAGCUUUUUUGGAUUACUAAUUUAUGACGAAAGAACCGAUUUUUGGAGAUAACCAGAAGUAAGGCGGCUAAGAUUGUCAAAAACAUGUAUGGAGCUUCCAGCUACCUCUUACAGUUCGUUCUGCUAUCCAUAUAAGAGCUUUUUUGGAUUACUAAUUUAUGGAGAACAGAACCGUUGUUUGGAGACAACUGUAGGAAUGGGGUUGGAGGUAAAAUAGAUGCCAUGCGUUCUUGUAAAAGAGAACGUUUGCAGCUGCGACCUAAAUCGAUUAUCUAUAAGGAUUUUGUUUGAUAUACCCUAUAAGACACAAAUAUUGGCAAUGGAUCCCUCGGUUCUCGUUUCGAUGAAGAACGCAGCGAAACGCGAUAAUUAUUGCGAAUUGCAGAAUUCAGUGAAUCAUCGAACUUUUGAACGCAAACGGCGCUGAUUGGUUACUCCUUUCAGCACACAUUUUUCAGUGUCAUUUCAUCUCGAACUCAAACACCUUUCUUACGAAGGGUGGGAGAGAUCAAAAAUGAAAGUCUUGACGCAUGUGCAUGAUCAUUCAGAGACGUCAUUGACGUUUUUUGGGAAAUCGCUCCUCUAACGAAUGCUCGAAAGAGUUUUUGAAAGUUGAGCUGGAAUUGUCACUUUUUGGAGACUCUCUGACAUGUACGAGCACAAGUCUUUUUAAAUAUGUGGAACUUCCUCUGGGAAUGUUGUGGAUGUUAAGCAAAAAACGUUUUUUGGAAUUAUUUUUUUGUAAGACAUACUGAUGUUUCUUGGAGGGCCAAAAGAGCCACAACUGCCUGGAUCUCUCGGGAUCUGGGCAACUUUUCUAAAUCGACCUGAAUGAUGUGAGACUACCCGCUGAACUUAAGCAUAUCAGUAAGCGGAGGAAAAGAAAUUAACAAAGAUUCCCCUAGUAACGGCGAGUGAACAGGGAAGAGCUCAUCCCGAGAAUCCCUCAUGGUUUACCAUGUUGGGAGUUGUGGGGUUCGAAAGUAUGAUCAGCGUGUGGCCCCGGAUUAAAUAUGUUGGAAAACAUUGGCAUCGAGGGUGAUACCCCCGUGUUAGUCUGGGAGUCCGCCGCGUACGAUCUACUUUUCAAGAGUCGGCUUGCUUGGUAAUGCAGGCUUAAGCAGGUGGUAAAUUCCAUCUAAAGCUAAAUACAAACGAGAAACCGAUAGUUCACAAGUACCGUGAGGGAAAGGUGAAAAGGACUUUGAAAAGAGAGUCAAAAGUACGUGAAAUUGCCAAUAUGCAAGGGAUUAGAACCAGUUUUUGGCGACCUACUUUUGCGUUCUAGGCUGGAUCACUCACGUUCCUAUGAUCCUGUAUGGGAUUAGGUUCAGGUUUGUGAAGGUUUUGUUCACAUUUGUAAGGGAGCUAGUAGUCAAAAUAGAUUUGGCAGGUGAAAACUUGGCUUCUGUAGGUAGGGUUGCUUGCAGCCCGAUGAUGGGAGUUUAAGGUCACAGGCCGGAUCGAGGGAAACCGAUUUUGACGAAAUGGUUCUUAUCCUCCCGUCUUGAAACACGGACCGAGGAGUGUAACAUAUAGGCAAGUCGUAGGGUGUAAAACCCGAAGGCGUAAUGAAAGUGAAGUGAAGUCUUCGACUUUAUCAGGUGUGCCACCGCAAGGUCUCAACACCGCCCGGCCUUUCAUAGAGAGAGGUUCGAGGUCGAGCCUAUAUGUUACGACCCGAAAGAUGGUGAACUAUACCUGAGCAGGGUGAAGCCAGGGGAAACUCUGGUGGAAGCUCGCAGCGAUACUGACGUGCAAAUCGUUCGUCAGACUUGGGUAUAGGGGCGAAAGACUAAUCGAACCAUCUAGUAGCUGGUUCCCUC